GAGGCAGCAGUGGGGAAUAUUGCGCAAUGGACGAAAGUCUGACGCAGCCAUGCCGCGUGGAUGAAGAAGGCCCUAGGGUUGUAAAGUCCUUUCGACGGGGAAGAUGAUGACGGUACCCGUAGAAGAAGCUCCGGCUAACUUCG
rnacentral:rRNA from 1 species